rnacentral:rRNA from 1 species
AUGAUGGAUGAUGUGUUUAUCUACCAUGCGCAUACGUUCUUUGUUUUGUUUUGUGCAUGUGUAGGAUACUUGGACUUUGUGUCGACUUCCACUUCACGUGAGUUGACCAUUCGAGCUCUUGAGAGUGAGCCUCUUACAUUCUACCACGACUCGCUUCUACACCACAUUUCCUACCACUUAGGCAUUAUUAAGAAUGCACAAGGACACAAUUUCAAGGUGACAUCCUUCUUGAGCUUGGAUAUUGUGGAUCAUACUUCAUGUGUUGCUUGCACCAUUUGCACGCAUGUUCGAGAUAUUGCUUUCACCCAUGAUUGCCACAUUUCCAUGCUUCAUGAUAUAUAUACCUUGUGUGUUGCAUCCAAUUCUUGGACUACUUGCUACUAUCAUAUGGUUGGUUGCACCAAUAUCAUUUCUUCACAUAUGCCAUGUCCCUUUACUUGUCAUGUGAUUCACUUGAUUGCCUCACACAUGAUGAACAAUUGCUCUUUCUAUUGUGUUGAGUGCCACAAUAUAUUCACUACACCCUAUGUGCAUUAUGCUUGGAUUGUCUUGCACUUGACCCAUGUGUUUAGACAUCUCAUCUUAUUUGGUGUUGUGAAUGAUUCUUAUGCCUACCAUCGACCAUUUGUCGAGCAGUUUAUGCAUGCUUGCUAUGACCUUGAGGUAGAUGCUUAUGCUCUUGUCACACAUAUUUGCAUCUCUACCUCACAUUUACAUGCUUUACCCCAUGAUAUCUUUGCUUGUGCUCAAUUUAUGUGCUUACAUGCCAUGUCACAACCCUUUGUCAAACCAUAUGCUAUGCUUGAUGACAACACUUGUUUGGUGAAUCACCUCUUGAAUGCUUGGUUUUGCACUAAUGCUAACCACAUUUGUUUUUCCAAGUGUUUGUUGUAUUUGCUCAUUUUGAAGGAAUCACAAGAUGGUGGGACAUUGGAGAGUGCCCAUUUCGAGUUACUAGAUGAUGAGUGUUUGGUGAUCGACCGCUUCGACACGGCAAUGCCAUCUCUUUCCCAUGGUGAUUUGGUUUUCGAUCCGAGGUCGGAUCUUUUCCAAGGGGGAGGGGAUGAUGCGGAGCAUCCUACGGUCAUCACCAUGUCAAGAGUCCGUUUGGCAAGUGACACGUGCAACCUCUACUUCACAUACACAAAGGUGAAUCUUCUCCUUUACACGUGCUCACUUGACCCCUUCGAGGAUGGUAUACUACUUGACACUUCUCCCGUGUGCAUGCAUAGGUAUUGUCGGAGCUUCACGGAUGUCGAGGAGGAGUGCAAGCGCCAAGGAACAACUACACCAUCCGCGAGGGAAGCAUGGAAGAGAAGACAGAAGAAACUGAGCUGCUACAUGCUACAGCCACCGGACGACCGGUCGGGACCGGACGUCCGACGCCUGGAAGCCGCACCAGCCAGAAGGCCCAGCCAACGCCAGCUACAGCACCUCCCAGCAAGCGAACGUCUGGCCCCCAGUGGACGACCGGUAAUAUUAACGGAAGUCCGAAGAUACCAGACGACUGGUGUCCCUUCAUAG